UUUUUAGUAUAAAUACAUCCCAUGUAAUAUUUGGGAUAUAUUUAUACUAACA
rnacentral:pre_miRNA from 1 species